rnacentral:tRNA from 1 species
GGCUGAAUAGCUCAGUGGUAAGAGCAGUCGCCCGGCAUCGAAAGACUCGGGUUCGAUUACCGAUUCAGCGA